rnacentral:rRNA from 1 species
GACGAACGCUGGCGGCGUGCUUAACACAUGCAAGUCGAACGGAAAGGCCUGCUUUCCCUUGUGGAUUGCGGGUACUCGAGUGGCGAACGGGUGAGUAACACGUGAGUGAUCUGCCCCCAACUUGGGUAUAAGCCUGGGAAACUGGGUCUAAUUCCCGAUAGGACUGCAGGGUGGUGCCUGUGGUGGAAAACGAUUUUCUAGUGGUUGGGGAUGAGCUCGCGGCCUAUCAGCUUGUUGGUGGGGUAAUGGCCUACCAAGGCGGCGACGGGUAGCCGGCCGGGGAGGGUGGACGGCCACAUUGGAACGGAGCUCCGGCCCAGACUCCUACGGGAGGAAGCAGUGGGGAAUAUUGCACAAUGGGCAGAAGCCUGAUGCAGCGACGCCGGUGGAGGGAUGACGGCCUUCGGGUUGUAAACUCCUUUCGACCGGGAGGAAGCCACGUGGUUGGAAGGGUGGUGACGGUAGUGGUAGAAGAAGCACCGGCUAACUACGUG